GGCGGAAGUGGAGGCCACAAGACUUCCUCUUCCGGGGCUGGCGGCGAAAACUCUUCCAAAGGACCCAGGUCAGCUGAAACUAGCUGGGAUACUAACAAGACCAGAGUGAUCAAGACAAUUAUUGAAGAGGUGUCACCCGAUGGUAGAGUCCUUUCGUCUAUGGUUGAAUCAGAAACUAAGAAACAGUUCUAUUAAGUCACAUCGAGACGAAACUCUCCCGUCCUACAGACCAUUCUACAUCAGUGCCUGGAAACAACAGCUCUGAGAAAAGUGCUUCAAUCUUCCUGGUCUGUGGAAACGGUUCGCUCCUUGAAAACAAGGGUCUCAAAGGUGGUUCGUGGUUUCUGUAUUUCUUCUUUUCACUUUACCAGAAAGUGUCCUUUAAUGGAAAGAAAAAGAAAAACUUUCUAUUCUCAUUUAUUGAUAAAUUUCAAUAAACUUUCUUACUGAUGCAAACUA